UGAGCCUCCAGGCUUUACUCUGGUUUAAAUGGAAUAUCGUGUGACACUAGUCCACGUGUACCUUGUUUAAAGAAAUCAAAAUAAAAGCUAUUUAUAUCACUAUUGAAUACUGUUCACCCAGGGUAUAUAAGGCCUUACCUGGCCACACUUCGAGUCUUUCGUGUAAAAGGCCACGUGUACGUGGGUCAUUCACGCAGUGUAUGACAAAAUUCUUUACUGCGCUGCAGUACCAUUUCUUAUACUGAGAGUUGGAGAAAAUUCGGGUGUUCGUGAAAACUCCCUUUCAUACCUGGUAAAAUGCCAAAUUUAUCUGACUCCAGCUCUGAAAAUGAAAAUGUCGAUAAGGACAUUGUUCAGUUAUUUGCGUCGGAUUCGGAGGUUGAUACGAACAUACAAAAUGAAAAUGCCGAACGACCAAACACAAGAAGCGUGGCUUCUACUUCAACAACCGGGAAGGGUAAAGGAAUAAGUUCCAACAAAAGGGGAAAGGCCCCAGCAAAAAAGGUAAACAAUAAAAGAAAAAACGAAGAAAAAACAACAAAAAAUAAAAAACAACAAGACUUUAAUCCUUCCCAAUUAUUUUCGUUAUUGAAUGAAUUUCUUAAGAGAACAGAACACGUCGAUAAUAACAACAAUCCAUGCACUUCCGGGACUACCGGCGAGAACCCAGAAGGGGUGAUAGAAUGUUUUCCGGAUUCGGAUUUUGAUCAUGUUCAAAAUAACGAAACAGAUAUGUUCUCUAUUGAUAAUGACCCAGAGGUGGUCUUUGAUGAUGAUAAUUCUGAAAUUUCAAUGCCAAAGAUAUUUGAGGAUGAAACAAAAUUUUCAGAGUCGAUUUCGGAAAAUAUGGCUAAGUUUAUUAAAAUGGGUUGUACCCAAAAGGCUGAUGUUUCAAAAUAUUUAGAUGAAGUCAAAAUUCCAGAAAACUGUAAAAAUCUUGUGCCACCAUUAAUAAAUUCUGAAAUUUGGAAUAAUCUUUUUCCUAAUGUCCAACAAAGAGACAAAACAUUGCAAGAUGCGCAAAGAAUUCUCGGUCUAUCUAUAGUUCCCAUGAUUUCACUUGCUGAAAUGUUCAAGACAAAUAAAUUUGAAAUGAAAAAAGCCAAAAAAUGUGUUUCGGAUGCAAUUACUCUGGCAUGCAAUGCGAUGUACGAGUUGAAUGUAAGACGCCGCUUUAUUCUCAGGCCAUUUGUACAUAAGAGAUUUCAACAAUUGUGUGCUGCAACAACUCCAAUUGAGGAGAAAACUCUUUUCCCCUCUGACAUUACAAAACGCAUGAAAGAAAUUUCUGAUGCGUCAAAAAUAAACAAGCAAUUAACACCUGGUUUUCCUCGCAAUAUUCAAUCAAAAAACUUCAGAGGGAAAAUGAACUUCCGAGGAAGGACAAGUCAGUACAAUCCAUACUCUCGAGGAGGCGGCAGGUCAAGCCGGUCAAGAGGCUCGGGUUACAACCGAGGACAAGGCAGAGCAGGGUACAACAGAUACCAGCAGAAUUAUUAGAUGUGAGUAACUUAAAUUUUGUUGCUGGGGGUUUAGCAAACAAUAUAAGAGAAUGGGAGAAGAUAACUUCAGAUUCAUGGAUCCUUGAUACAAUUUUAGGUUACAAAAUUGAGUUUGAUGAAAUUCCUUUUCAAAACAAAAUUCCUGUUCCUAUUAAAUUUAAUGUAAAACAAACGGAUAUAAUAGAUCAAGAGGUUAUAGACCUCCUGAAUAAAAAUGCAAUCAGUGUAAGCAAGUUUGAAGCAAAUCAAUUUAUUUCUAAUAUUUUUAUAGUGGAAAAGAAAAAUGGCAAAUUUAGACCGGUGAUAAAUUUGAUGAAAUUGAAUGAAUUUAUUACUUAUCACCAUUUUAAGAUGGAAACUUUAGAUGUGGUUUUAUCUUCUAUAAAAAGAAACUCAUUUUUUGUCAGUAUUGAUUUGAAGGAUGCUUAUUUGUCAGUACCCAUUUAUAAAAAUGACAGAAAGUAUUUGAAAUUUUUUUGGAAAGGAGUCCUUUAUCAAUGCAAUGCACUAAUGUUUGGUUUGGCAUCAGCUCCGAGAGUUUUUACUAAAUUAAUGAAACCCAUUUUUGCUUUUAUACGACAGCAAGGAAUAUCUUCAUUUUAUUAUAUUGAUGACUCAUUAAUUCAGGCUAAUCAUUUUGCUAAAUGUGAACGGGAUGCAAAAUUUUUAGUUAAUUUGUUAGAAAGCUUGGGAUUUGUUGUUAACAGAGAAAAAUCGGUUUUAAUACCAUCUCAAGAAAUACAUUAUUUGGGUCAUAUUAUAGACUCUGUCAAAUUCAAGGUAUAUCUACCAGAUGAAAAAGUUGAAAAAAUUAUUUCUUAUUGUAACUUGAUUUCAACCAAAAAAGUAUGUUUUAUUAGGGAGGUUGCAAGAUUAAUAGGAUUAUUUACUUCCUCCCUUCAUGCCAUAAAUCUAGGAGCUCUAUUUUUUAGAUACUUAGACAGAGAUAAAGUUCAAGCUUUGGCUAAAGAGAAUAACGAUUAUGAUGCACAAAUGUUGUUGAGUGAUAUGUCUAUUAACGAAAUAGUUUGGUGGAAAGAAAAUAUAACACUUAGGAAUGGGAAAUGGAUACGGGACCCAAAAGUAGAUAUUUAUUUGGAAACAGAUGCUUCAAAAGCUGGAUGGGGUGCAAAUUUAAAUGGUAAAAUCACUGGUGGCAGAUGGUCAAAAACAGAAUCAGUUUUGCAUAUAAAUAUUUUAGAAAUUAUGGCUAUCAAAUUUGCAUUACAGAGUUUAUGUCAGAAUAUGAAAAAUAUACAUAUUUGUAUUAGAUCAGACAAUAGCGCUGCUGUCUCAUACAUUAAUAAUCAAGGUGGAUCAGUAUUAUCAUUAUUUGAAGAGGCUAAAAAUAUUUGGCUUUGGUGUGAUAAUAAGAAUAUACUAAUUUCUGCUGUUCAUAUUGCGGGAAAAAACAAUGUUACUGCUGAUUAUAUGUCUAGAUCCUUCAGUGAUUCAACAGAAUGGAAAUUGAAUGAAAAGGUCUUUGAUGAAUUAUGUAGAAUAUUUUUUUAUCCAGACAUGGAUCUCUUUGCAUCUAGACUAAAUAGACAAUUAGAAAAUUAUAUUUCCUGGUUUCCUGAUCCUUUUGCUUUUACUUCAGAUGCAUUUUCUAUCAGUUGGUCAGAUUUUAAACCUUAUAUUUUUCCUCCUUUCAGUUUGAUUGGGAGAGUUUUACAGAAGUUGGAGGACGAUCAGAAGUGGUUUGACUUUCAUCGAUGGACGGAUUUACGAGUACCCGGAUACAGUCUCAGGAUUAUUCUUAAAAAUGAUUGCACAGGAGGAACAUGGUCACAGUGACAUAUUUUUGCGUGUUAGUGAACGAUGAACUGUAUAGACUGUGGUGUGUUCCUUAUGACAUGGAUAUAUCGGACUUUGGAGUAAUUAUUGCGUAUAAUUCAACUUGAUUAAUAAAUGUAUUUUUCUUUUCAAAAUGUUGUUAUUUUAUUUUCUCUUAUUAUGUUGAUGUUUUAAAUUUGCUGUCUUUAUUGCUUUA